rnacentral:rRNA from 1 species
GACGAACGCUGGCGGCGUGCUUAACACAUGCAAGUCGAACGGAAAGGCCCUACUUUUGUGGGGUGCUCGUUUGGCGAAGGCGUGAGUGAAACGUGAGUAUCCUGCACUUGUAUUUGGGGUAACUUCAGGAAACUGGGGCUAAUACCGGAUAGGAGCUCCUGCUCCAUGGGGGGGGUUGGAAAGUUUCGGCGGUUGGGGAUGGACUCGCGGCUUAUCAGCUUGUUGGGGGGGUAGUGGCUUACCAAGGGUUUGACGGGUAGGCGGCCUGGGAGGGUGACCGGGCACAAUGGGACUGCGGGACGGACCAGACGCCUACGGGAGGCAACAGGGGGGAAUAUUGCACAAUGGGCGGAAGCCUGAGGCAGCAACCCCGCGUGCGGGAAGACGGGCUUCGGGUUGUAAACCGCUUUCGCCUGUGACGAAGCGUUAGUGACGGUAAUGGGUAAAAAAGCACCGGCUAACUACGUG